rnacentral:rRNA from 1 species
AACGAACGCUGGCGGCAUGCCUAACACAUGCAAGUCGAACGAGACCUUCGGGUCUAGUGGCGCACGGGUGCGUAACGCGUGGGAACCUGCCCUUAGGUUCGGAAUAACUCCCCGAAAGGGGUGCUAAUACCGGAUAAUGUCUUCGGCCCAAAGAUUUAUCGCCUUUGGAUGGGCCCGCGUUGGAUUAGCUAGUUGGUAGGGUAAAAGCCUACCAAGGCGACGAUUCAUAGCUGGUCUGAGAGAAUGGUCAGCCACACUGGGACUGAGACACGGCCCAGACUCCUACGGGAGGCAGCAGUGGGGAAUAUUGGACAGUGGGCGAAAGCCUGAUCCAGCAAUGCCGCGUGAGUGAUGAAGGCCUUAGGGUUGUAAAGCUCUUUUACCCGGGAUGAUAAUGACAGUACCGGGAGAAUAAGCUCCGGCUAACUCCGUG